rnacentral:rRNA from 1 species
UACGUAGGGGCCAAGCGUUGUCCGGAUUUAUUGGGCGUAAAGAGCUCGUAGGCGGUUGGGUAAGUCGGGUGUGAAAACUCCAGGCUCACAUCGAUGGAGAUCGCACCCGAUACUGCUCUGACUUGAGUUCGGUAGGGGAGUGGGGAAUUCCUGGUGUAGCGGUGAAAUGCGCAGAUAUCAGGAGGAACACCGGUGGCGAAGGCGCCACUCUGGGCCGAAACUGACGCUGAGGAGCGAAAGCGUGGGUAGCAAACAGG